GUUGAAUGAGGAUCUGCCUGUCAUCAUGACUUCCAAGCCUAUUGUACAACUAUAGUAUAUAGUCCUUUCAUACGAACUAUAUAGUAUACAGUUCUUUUAGUCCUGAAGAAAGUCUAAGAACAUGCAAGAAAGAAAAAGCAUACUUUUAUCUGAUUUGCAUAUGAAAUUCCUGUGUGAAGAAAUACCACUUCCCAUAGUCUUCAAGCAAGACACCUAGGAGAUCGAAAAGGACCACAAAACCUCGGUGUAUAUUACGCUACAAGCCAGACGUCAUUUUGUCAGUGGACGAGCACCCUCUUCCAGCGCAGAAAUUAUGUUGCCUUCCAUCUGUCAAGGGAAAAUGUUGGAAUAUUUAGAAACAACAACCCAAGAAAGAACUCCAUAUUCUUUGAUACUUCCCAGAUGAAAACUGGGAGACAUAUAGCUGAGCAACAGUAACAAGAGGGCAAAAGUUAAUAAAAAGAAGAAUACAGUGUUCCCUCACUACUUCGCGGUUCACUUUUCGCGGAUUCUCUGUUUUGCGGUUUUUCAAUAAACUCUAAAAGACUAUUAUAAAUCAUGAAAAAUUACAAUUUAAAGCUCAAGGAAGGGAGGAAGGGGAAGCCGAAGGGAGAGAAAAGGAGCCCAAGUGGCAACGGGAGGAGAAGGAGGCGAUUUAUCAACACACGAUUGGUUGAUAAAGACUUAAAAUAGUGUAUAACUACUAAAAUAAUGUAUAAAUAUUAAAAUUAAUAUAGCGUC